GGGGCUUGCUACGGAACCACGAAGUUAACUGCAAGUUAAAGGUAAAAGUUCCUUCUUUUCGCAGCAACAUGGAAGGAGAGAGGACCAGUUCCUACAAAGAGCUAUUGGCUUCUAAAGACUGAGGGGAUGAGGACGUAAAACCAAUGGCUGUGAACGUGGUCUAAACUGGAUGAAUUGAAUCCUCGGAUGAUGGUACAGUCCCAGGAUUAAAUCAGCUGGUGGGAAUGGGAGUGAAAACGGAUGUCUGGAUGAGAGAGCUUGAAAGCCAGCGCAGAAGACCGCCUCAUUCUGGGACUCCCUUUCAUGGUAAACUCUGAAGUUGCAUGGAAUCAGCAAAGCUAAUUCUUAUUCUUACCUCAGAUGUUCUAUAAUUAACUUAUUCACUUUAUAACUAUAUUUGUACCUUUUUCUAGAUGACUAGUGAGAUUUUUUUUGCAGAACUAGUGAUGAAUAAAUCUUGCUGCCCUCUGUCCUGAGCGAGCAGAGUGCGCAGCCAUUAGCCGCUACUAGCUUCUGCUUUCUAACCUCAACCCCAAAAUAACCUGUGUACUUUUUGGAAAACAAAAAAACUGAUUUAUAUUUGUAACAUUUUUGAUAUCGACAAUGUUUUUUGAUAUCGACAAGCUGAUUUGCGGGUUAGUUACGCUUGAAUUGCUGCUCUGUCAUUGUUGCUAUAGUUCCACCUUAAAUGUUUUUGGUUUGCAUUCAAAUGUGAUUCUGACAAAAGGCGUCCGUCCAUCGCAUGCAGGCUGAAAGAUCGAAUCUGAAGAACAACCUUUUUGUUCAGUUGUAUUUGCUGAAUAAACCACUGAACAGUAUCUAAAAUGCUUUGUGGAUUUUUUUCUUAAUUGUAAAGUUGCUUCUAAUGAGGCAUUAUAUAUUUUCAACUUAUUGAAAAGUAAAAAGCUUGUUCUAAGUCUUGCAGGGGUCAAUCAAAACUGAACUGUGAACAAUUCUAUUUGUAUUUUUUUUUUAUUUAUUUAUUUUUGUUGGGGAGGGGGGAGGUGUUUUUGUUUCUCUUAUAUACUUAUGUAAUAUGAUAGACAACACAGUGUACAAUGUUAUAUUUCCUAUGUUUGUGAAACACAAAACUAAUAAAAAUGUUUAAA